ACGAACGCUGGCGGCGUGCCUAACACAUGCAAGUCGAACGAGAAAGCUCCCUUCGGGGAGUUAGUAAAGUGGCGCAAGGGUGAGUAACACGUGAAUAAUCUGCCCUCGAAAUUGGGAUAACUCGGCGAAAGUUGAGCUAAUACCGGAUAAGACCACGUUUCUUAAGAAGCGCGGCCAAAGGGGUCUCAAUCCCCGUUUGAGGAUGAGUUCGCGGACCAUUAGCUUGUUGGUGAGAUAAAAGCUCACCAAGGCUUCGAUGGUUAGCCGGCCUGAGAGGGCGAUCGGCCACACUGGAGCUGAGACACGGUCCAGACUCCUACGGGAGGCAGCAGUGGGCAAUAUUGCGCAAUGGGCGAAAGCCUGACGCAGCAACGCCGCGUGAGGGAUGACGGUUUUACGAUCGUAAACCACUGUCGGAUGCGAAGAAUAAUGACGGUACCAUCAGAGGAAGCCCCGGCUAACUCCGUGCCAGCAGCCGCGGUAAUACGGAGGGGGCAAGCGUUGUUCGGAAUUAUUGGGCGUAAAGAGUAUGUAGGCGGCCGGACAAGUCAGACGUGUAAGCCCAGGGCUCAACCCUGGAAUUGCGUUUGAAACUGUCCGACUUGAGUGCGGGAGAGGAAAGCGGAAUUCCCAGUGUAGCGGUGAAAUGCAUUGAUAUUGGGAAGAACACCGGUGGCGAAGGCGGCUUUCUGGUUCGGUACUGACGCUGAGGCGCGAAAGCGUGGGGAGCAAACAGGAUUAGAUACCCUUGUAGUCCACGCCGUAAACGAUGUGUGCUAGUUGUCGGGCAGCUUGCUGUUCGGUGACGCCGCUAACGCAUUAAGCACACCGCCUGGGGAGUACGGCCGCAAGGCUAAAACUCAAAGGAAUUGACGGGGGCCCGCACAAGCGGUGGAGCAUGUGGUUUAAUUCGAAGCAACGCGCAGAACCUUACCAGCUCUUGACAUACCUAUCGCGGAUUUCCGAGAGGAUUUCCUUCAGUUCGGCUGGAUAGGAUACAGGUGCUGCAUGGCUGUCGUCAGCUCGUGUCGUGAGAUGUUGGCUUAAGUCACGCAACGAGCGCACCCAUCAUCCUUAGUUGCCAGCGGUUCGGCCGGGCACUCUAGGGAAACUGCCGGUGACAAGCCGGAGGAAGGCGGGGAUGACGUCAAGUCCUCAUGGCCCUUAUGGGCUGGGCUACACACGUGCUACAAUGGCGGUGACAGUGGGAAGCAAGACCGCGAGGUGGAGCUAAUCCCCAAAAGCCGUCUCAGUUCGGAUUGUACUCUGCAACUCGAGUGCAUGAAGUUGGAAUCGCUAGUAAUCGUGGAUCAGCAUGCCACGGUGAAUACGUUCCCGGGCCUUGUACACACCGCCCGUCAC
rnacentral:rRNA from 1 species